AGUAAGUGUAGGUUUACACUAUUUAUCUUCAAUCUUUGAUCGUUCGUUUUAUUUGAAGAACUUUUAUGAUAAAAUAUGAAUAGUAAUUUAUGUGUAACUAAUUUUUUUAAAAUUUUUCAUAAAUUUUUUAAAUGAGACGGAUGGUCAAACGUUGGACACGGAUUUUCACGGCUGCACUUAUU
rfam:Oryza glaberrima chromosome 1 Oglab01_0176_41, whole genome shotgun sequence.